rfam:Camelus ferus unplaced genomic scaffold scaffold265, whole genome shotgun sequence.
GAGGGUAUAGCUCAGUGGCAGAGCUGCAUGCUUAGCACACACAAGGUCCUGGGUUCAAUCUCCAGUACCUCCA